GACGAACGCUGGCGGCGUGCUUAACACAUGCAAGUCGAACGGAAAGACCCUGCUUUUGUGGGGUGCUCGAGUGGCGAACGGGUGAGUAACACGUGAGUAACCUGCCCUUGACUUUGGGAUAACUUCAGGAAACUGGGGCUAAUACCGGAUAGGAGCUCCUGCUGCAUGGUGGGGGUUGGAAAGUUUCGGCGGUUGGGGAUGGACUCGCGGCUUAUCAGCUUGUUGGUGGGGUAGUGGCUUACCAAGGCUUUGACGGGUAGCCGGCCUGAGAGGGUGACCGGCCACAUUGGAACUGAGAUACGGCCCAGACUCCUACGGGAGGCAGCAGUGGGGAAUAUUGCACAAUGGGCGGAAGCCUGAUGCAGCAACGCCGCGUGCGGGAUGACGGCCUUCGGGUUGUAAACCGCCUUCGCCUGUGACGAAGCGUGAGUGACGGUAAUGGGUAAAGAAGCACCGGCUAACUACGUG
rnacentral:rRNA from 1 species